AAGUCGGACGGACACCUUCGGGUGUCAGUGGCGGACGGGUGAGUAACGCGUAGGAAUCUACCCCUAGGAGGGGGAUAACGGCUGGAAACGGCUGCUAAUACCCCAUACAGGCGCGAGCUGAAAGGAGCAAUCCGCCUAGGGAUGAGCCUGCGUCGGAUUAGCUAGUUGGUGGGGUAAUGGCCUACCAAGGCGACGAUCCGUAGCGGGUCUGAGAGGAUGGCCCGCCACACUGGGACUGAGACACGGCCCAGACUCCUACGGGAGGCAGCAGUGGGGAAUUUUCCGCAAUGGGCGAAAGCCUGACGGAGCAAUACCGCGUGAGGGAGGAAGGCCUUCGGGUUGUAAACCUCUUUUCUGGGGGACGAA
rnacentral:rRNA from 1 species